GAUGAACGCUGGCGGCGUGCCUAAUACAUGCAAGUCGAGCGAACAGAUGAGGAGCUUGCUCCUCUGACGUUAGCGGCGGACGGGUGAGUAACACGUGGAUAACCUACCUAUAAGACUGGGAUAACUUCGGGAAACCGGAGCUAAUACCGGAUAAUAUAUUGAACCGCAUGGUUCAAUAGUGAAAGACGGUUUUGCUGUCACUUAUAGAUGGAUCCGCGCCGCAUUAGCUAGUUGGUAAGGUAACGGCUUACCAAGGCGACGAUGCGUAGCCGACCUGAGAGGGUGAUCGGCCACACUGGAACUGAGACACGGUCCCGACUCCUACGGGAGGCAGCAGUAGGGAAUCUUCCGCAAUGGGCGAAAGCUUGACGGAGCAACGCCGCGUGAGUGAUGACGGUCUUCGGAUCGUAAAACUCUGUUAUUAGGGAAGAACAAAUGUGUAAGUAACUAUGCACGUCUUGACGGUACCUAAUCAGAAAGCCACGGCUAACUACGUG
rnacentral:rRNA from 1 species